CUCAACUCCGCGCUACCGUAAUCCGCCUAAAGCUGGCGCAGCACGUCCACUGCCGGGCCGCGGGGAGACCACGUGGACCGAACUUCAGGGGAGAACAGACCGGCACGUGGGACGGGCCGUGGGGCUACGGAUCUGAAAGGGGCUUUGCAGAGAGACCUCAGAGGGUGUCCGGCCUCGGAGCGGUUCCAGGGAACGCUGUGCCAACCCCACCUUCCUGUGGAGCCCUGAGGUCAUUCCGGACUCCCGACGCCGCCAGUCCCUUGGUGAGACAGCAGCACCACUGGCGUCCGUGGCCUCUGUUUCCGUGGCAACCCAGUAACCAUUAAUUUUCAAUUAAAGGAGACAAAAAGCUCAAUGACAGCUCCAGGUCCGCUGAAGAUGUCAAGAAUGUGUAUUAAUAUACAGCACGAGAGCAUAAUUGUGUGUCCAUCUUCCAGAGCAGCGAAAAAUGGAGGGAUAAUUACCAGCUCGAAAGCCACUCUGUAAUUUAGUUCUUACUGUCACCACAACCCUGCACAUUAGCAUAAAUUAAAAGCGGAGUUUAUUGUUAUCAAAGUGCAUCGAUACCGCCAGACCCGCUUUCUUGCUUUUAACUGUUUGUUGUGGGCAAGUGACUCCCCGACUCUCACCAGGGCCUCCCCAGGAUGGGCACAG
rnacentral:lncRNA from 1 species